rnacentral:rRNA from 1 species
UACGUAGGGUGCGAGCGUUGUCCGGAAUUAUUGGGCGUAAAGAGCUCGUAGGCGGUUUGUCGCGUCGGCCGUGAAAACUUGGGGCUUAACCCCAAGCUUGCGGUCGAUACGGGCAGACUUGAGUUCGGCAGGGGAGACUGGAAUUCCUGGUGUAGCGGUGAAAUGCGCAGAUAUCAGGAAGAACACCCGUGGCGAAGGCGGUUCUCUGGGACGGUACUGACGCUGAGACGCGAAAGCGUGGGGAGCGAACAGG